CUCAUGUCAUUUAGUGUUGGACACUAAGGCAAACACAUAGGUGUUCGAAAGAGUGAUCGAGUACACUGAACAACGAUCAAAAGAGAGUUCGAACAUACAUGUCAUGUAAGAACUCGAAAGUUGCAAUAUGCAAAGUAGUCCUUUGACCUGAGGCAUCAUUGAUGUCUAAUGGUUAGGUCCUUGAUCUUUGAUCAUGUCAAAGGCAUUCCAUUGGAGUGUCCACGGAAUUGUUGUGGUCAAGCUACCUAGUCA
rnacentral:lncRNA from 1 species